AAGUCGUAACAAGGUUUCCGUAGGUGAACCUGCGGAAGGAUCAUUACCAAAUCCAAAAUACCCAAACCCCAUGUGAACUAUUGUAUAGUCUGUCUUUGGGAGAAAGUUCUGUGGCUUUUUGUUUUUUUACGAAAAACCCUUUACUUUCUCCCAAAAGAAUCCGGCAUAUCUUUAUGGAUGUGUUCAGAUUCUUUGAAACCCCUCUUUAAUAAACCACUUGAUUUUUGUUGGAAUUUUAUUUUUAUUAAUUUUUUAAUAAAAGACAACUUUUAACGGCGGAUCUCUUGGCUCGUG
rnacentral:misc_RNA from 1 species